AACGAACGCUGGCGGCAUGCCUAACACAUGCAAGUCGAACGAGACCUUCGGGUCUAGUGGCGCACGGGUGCGUAACGCGUGGGAACCUGCCCUUAGGUUCGGAAUAACUCCCCGAAAGGGGUGCUAAUACCGGAUAAUGUCGUCGGACCAAAGAUUUAUCGCCUUUGGAUGGGCCCGCGUUGGAUUAGCUAGUUGGUAGGGUAAAAGCCUACCAAGGCGACGAUCCAUAGCUGGUCUGGGAGGAUGAUCAGCCACACUGGGACUGAGACACGGCCCAGACUCCUACGGGAGGCAGCAGUGGGGAAUAUUGGACAAUGGGCGAAAGCCUGAUCCAGCAAUGCCGCGUGAGUGAUGAAGGCCUUAGGGUUGUAAAGCUCUUUUACCCGGGAUGAUAAUGACAGUACCGGGAGAAUAAGCGCCGGCUAACUCCGUG
rnacentral:rRNA from 1 species